AACGGAGGGGGCGAGCGUUGCCCGGAAUCACUGGGCGUAAAGCGCGCGUAGGCGGCUGGGUAAGUCGGGAGUGAAAGCCCUAGGCUCAACCGUGGAAAUGCGCUUGAAACUGCGCGGCUAGAGUGCAGGAGAGGUGAGUGGAAUUCCCGGUGUAGCGGUGAAAUGCGUAGAUAUCCGGAGGAACACCGGUGGCGAAGGCGGCUCACUGGCCUGGAACUGACGCUGAGGUGCGAAAGCGUGGGGAGCAAACAGG
rnacentral:rRNA from 1 species